UACGUAGGGGUCGAGCGUUGUCCGGAGUUACUGGGCGUAAAGCGUGCGCAGGCGGCUCAUCGCGCUCGGCGUGAAAGCCCCCGGCUCAACCGGGGAGGGUCGUCGAGGACGGGUGAGCUUGAGGGUAUCAGGGGUUGGUGGAAUUCCCGGUGUAGUGGUGAAAUGCGUAGAUAUCUGGAGGAAUACCGGUGGCGAAGGCGGCAUCCUGGACCAUUACUGACGCUGAGGCGCGAAAGCUAGGGGAGCAAACGGG
rnacentral:rRNA from 1 species